ensembl:lncRNA
AUGCUGGAAUUGCUGUUUAUGAGAUCCCAUCUUUAUUUCUCAUUACAGAGUCUGCAGGGGGAAACACAACAUGGACAGUUGACACAACAUGCUGCAGGUUUAAUAGCUGCAGGUCAGACCGGCUGGCUGGGUGACAAACUGAAGAAUUCAUUCAAACCUCCGGUUCUUUAUAUGGGACUGAGUCACUUCCAAUGUAAUCAGCAGGACGUAGGAGGUUGUAGUCCAUGUUGAUCAAAGAUGCUUGAGUCUUUCCAGUAAUUACAUAUGGUGAGCGCAGGGGGUACCUGCAACACAAUCCCCUCAGUCGGAUAGCUCUGCAUUACAACACACUGAUAUUAUUUCAGAUGGAUUGACUUUCAUUUACCCCUUAUACAAUUACUGAACCCAGACCACCAGCUGACGCUCAAACAACAGGACGAAAUGUGAUCUUUUCCUGAAGCUGUCUGUGUGUCACAAAGGCUCAUCGAAACCGGUGCAGUGCCUCAUUAAUGCCACAAGGGGGGCACAAGUUUGACUAGGGAGGAACUAGUAUGUGUUACGUCGUUGCCUGAGGCAUUGACGGGAUAAGCAUAUUAUAUAUAUAUAGCCUAUAUUCUGAGCUGUCGCAGUUGGGUGUAUGAGCCAAAUUUAUAAACAUAUGGUGUAAAAUAUUAACAGUUUUGCAUUAUUGUGUCCCUCAUGAAAAUAUCAACAAUGUGACGUUUUGAAGAAAUGUUUCUUUUAACAAAUCAACAAAAAUCCAGAAUAAACAAAAAUGAAUCUUGUAUUGGUUUAAUGUG